AUUGAACGCUAGCGGGAUGCUUUACACAUGCAAGUCGAACGAGUGGCGGACGGGUGAGUAAUAUAUCGGAACGUGCCCAGUAGCGGGGGCUAACUACUCGAAAGAGUUGCUACUACCGCAUACUAUUGGAUCGGCCGAUAUCGGAUUAGCUAGGUGGUGGGGUAAAGGCUCACCAAGGCAACGAGCCGUAGCUGGUCUGAGAGGACGCCCAGACACACUGGGACGGAGACACUGCCCAGACGCCUACGGGAGGCAGCAGUUGGGAAUUUUGGACAAUGGGGGAAACCCUGAUCCAGCCAUCCCGCGUGUAUGAGAAGGCCUUCGGGUUGUAAAGUACUGUUGGCAGAGAAGCGGUAUCUGCAGAAAAAGCACCGGCUAACUACGUGCCAGCCGCCGCGGUAAUUC
rnacentral:rRNA from 1 species